rfam:Kluyvera intestini strain GT-16 tig00000000, whole genome shotgun sequence.
ACAGUGCCAUGGCCGUCUGAGCUAAGGCACGAAUAAAUAAAGAAAGGCGCAGAUAUCUGCGCCUUUUUU